rnacentral:rRNA from 1 species
GCUAGUAAUCGCGGAUCAGCAUGCCGCGGUGAAUACGUUCCCGGGCCUUGUACACACCGCCCGUCACACCAUGGGAGUCGGUAACACCUGAAGCCAGUAGCCUAACCGCAAGGAGGGCGCUGUCGAAGGUGGGAUUGAUGACUGGGGUGAAGUCGUAACAAGGUACC